GACGAACGCUGGCGGCGUGCUUAACACAUGCAAGUCGAACGGAAAGGCCCUGCUUUUGUGGGGUGCUCGAGUGGCGAACGGGUGAGUAACACGUGAGUAACCUGCCCUUGACUUUGGGAUAACUUCAGGAAACUGGGGCUAAUACCGGAUAGGAGCUCCUGCUGCAUGGUGGGGGUUGGAAAGUUUCGGCGGUUGGGGAUGGACUCGCGGCUUAUCAGCUGGUUGGUGGGGUAGUGGCUUACCAAGGCUUUGACGGGUAGCCGGCCUGAGAGGGUGGCCGGCCACAUUGGGACUGAGAUACGGCCCAGACUCCUACGGGAGGCAGCAGUGGGGAAUAUUGCACAAUGGGCGGAAGCCUGAUGCAGCAACGCCGCGUGCGGGAUGACGGCCUUCGGGUUGUAAACCGCUUUCGCCUGUGACGAAGCGUGAGUGACGGUAAUGGGUAAAGAAGCACCGGCUAACUACGUG
rnacentral:rRNA from 1 species